AUUGAACGCUGGCGGCAUGCCUUACACAUGCAAGUCGAACGGCAGCACGGGUGCUUGCACCUGGUGGCGAGUGGCGAACGGGUGAGUAAUACAUCGGAACAUGUCCUGUAGUGGGGGAUAGCCCGGCGAAAGCCGGAUUAAUACCGCAUACGAUCUACGGAUGAAAGCGGGGGCCCUUCGGGCCUCGCGCUUUAGGGUUGGCCGAUGGCUGAUUAGCUAGUUGGUGGGGUAAAGGCCUACCAAGGCGACGAUCAGUAGCUGGUCUGAGAGGACGACCAGCCACACUGGGACUGAGACACGGCCCAGACUCCUACGGGAGGCAGCAGUGGGGAAUUUUGGACAAUGGGCGAAAGCCUGAUCCAGCAAUGCCGCGUGUGUGAAGAAGGCCUUCGGGUUGUAAAGCACUUUUGUCCGGAAAGAAAUCCUUGGCCCUAAUACGGGCGGGGGAUGACGGUACCGGAAGAAUAAGCACCGGCUAACUACGUG
rnacentral:rRNA from 1 species